CCGAGUGUUUCUACUCUAAACCCACUGUGAACCUUACCACUGUCGUUGCUUCGGCGGGCGUCCGCGCCCGCCGGCAGCACCCAAACUCUUGAUUUUUGUAUGCCUCUCUGAGUACUAAAGACAAAACAAUCA
rnacentral:misc_RNA from 2 species